UUUUCAAAGUUUUUUCUCUUUUGAAAUAAAUCAGACUGGAACUUUUAUUAAUGGAACCAAACCCAAAGCAAACAAAUAAAACAAAGUCAUGACUAAAAGCAAGCCCGAAACUAGGCCCAACAAGUAAAAGAAAAGAAAAAAGGCAAAACGACUAUUCUAGAAAAGUUGUCCAGUCACGAUUCUUGAAGCUGGAAAUCAUCCACAUUCCCAAAAAUAAUUAUCAUAUCCCGAUGAGACCAUUCAAUGCUUCCAAAGACAGACCCCAGCUCACAGCAUCCUCUCCAUCGGUUAUGUUCCUCCCAAUCCCUCAGUCAGGCUCCCUCUCUCUUUGUUUGCUAAGGUCCGUAGAAUCCACCGCAUAAUGAGGCACUAGUCUUUCCAGGUACAAUUCUUCUCCACGUUUUAAACUCUCUUUUGCGAUUAAAUGUGUCGUCUGAUUCGCUGAUCUUUGGAUAUACUUGAAUCGUAUGGUUUGAGAAUUUGUUGCGAACUGCUUGAUAUCUCUGAUGUAUGCCCCCGAUUUCUACUUUAUCCUCAGCAGUAGAAUUACAUUUCUUGAUAAUAACAAAUGCAUCUCCUUCUAUUUCAACCUUCCUCGCCCCCCCGAGUACAUGCACAAGCCUCAGCAAAAAAGGGGGAUGCAGUCGCCUCUUCCAAAGUUGCUUGCGAGGCCAGAACCUCACCUCUAUCGUUUCGAGCAAUCAGUCCCGAUGCCAAUCAGAACAUUUCACGAUUGUAGGCCGCAUCAAAGUUAAUGUGAAUAAAUCCAGACUCCGGAGGUUUCCAACGCACAUAAAGAAACUGUUUGGUGAUUCCUCACCCCCAACUCUUCAAAUUCCCUAAUACAUUUGAAAGUCUGUUCAGCAAUUCCUCUGCCUGAAAUGCUUUUGCGUUCUUGGAUUUUCCUAUUUCUUUCAGUCCAGAUAACCCAGGUCGCACAACAAAAUAGUUGACAUUGAUAGUUUGAUGCUCUGCGAAACACCCAGGUAAGCCAAUCACACAGCACCAGAUUCACUUCCGAGGAAACCCACUCAAGAUCUAAGUGUUUCCAUGCUUCAAUUAAAAUAGGACACUCUCUAAACACGUGGUCAGUGGUCUCAAGUCUCCACUCCCAUUUCACACCGUGGACAGAUAGUGUUGACUUGAAGCCUUCUGUGAUGUAGGUUGGAUGGGGUUGGUAGAAAAUUCCAGGAAAUUUUCCAUAAUGUAAUUUUUUGUUUUGGUAGCAAGUUUGAGGGACCAAAGGUUUUUUGUAAAAUUUUGUCAAAUUAUUCCAUACCUCAUUAGUAGGAAAGUCGCUUGAAUGUUCAAGCAAAAACUUGUAUCCACUCCAAACCGAGUGCUCGCCAAAAGAUUCACCCUUCCACACCAAAAAGUCAUCGUGUACCACUGAAGCUAAAGGGAUUCUCAAAAUUCCUCUUGCAUCAAACUCAAAAAAGGUAUUCGCAAUAACUUCAGCUCUCCAUGUUCUUGAACUACUAUCAAUUAAAUAUGAAACCUUAGUGACAUUACAAUUGUUGACUACCUCUAUACUUAAAAAAAUUUUAGCUCCUGGGAUCCGAGCAUCGCCAACAAUAGAUAUCUUGUCCCCCUUCCCACCUGCCAACAAAGUCCCUUAUCAAGGAGGCCUCUUGAUGCUCAGAUACUAUGCCAGGUAUAGGAAAGUAGAUUCCCUAACCUUGCUUCUAUAAAGUCACAAUUCGGGUAACAUUUGGCCUUUAAAACACGUGCUAACAAUGAAUUCUAGUUGCAAACGAAACGCCACCCUUGUUUUGCUAACAACACGAGAUUAAAUUUCUCAAGAUUACCAAAACCCAAACCUCUCAGUUCUUUUAACUUACAUAAACCAUUCCAAACACACCAAUGAAUACCCUUUUUACCAUGACUUUUUUACCACCAAAAUUUAGCUAUUAUGUUCUCCAAAUCUUUAUACAGUGAUUUCGGUAACAAAAACCACAUCAUAGAAUAAGUUGGAAUGGCAUGAAGGACAGCUUUAAUAAAUACCUCCUUCCCCUCUUGACACAAAAAGCGAGUGCUCCAACUAUCUAUCUUCUUUUUGAUCUUAUCUUUUAGGGUUUGAAAAGCUAACCACUUUUGUCAUCCCACUACACUUGGAAGCCCCAAGUAUAGCUCUGGGUUAUUCGAAACCUUUACCCAUAAGGUUCUCGAAACUAAAAGCUUCUCACUCUCGCUAGUGUUCGUAUUGAAGAAAACCUUGGACUUAUCGUAGUUGAUACAUUCAUUAAGAACCUUUUUCAAAACAUGAACACCCCUUUCAUUUGCUUCACCAAAUAAGAUACAAUCAUCAGGAAAAAGCAAAUGCGAAACUUGUGGUCCCCUUUGACUAACCUUGACCCCUUUUAACAACCCUUUUCUCAAAGCACAUUUCAUUAAGAUAGUCCUUCACUACAAACCAAAAAGAGAAAGGGACUCAAAGGAUCCUCUUGUCGUAACCCUCUGCUUGGUUGAAAGACCUUCCCAACUUGCCCAUCAAUGAUCACUGAAUACUGAACUGAGGAUAUACAUUGCAUAAUCAAAUCAAUCCACGACAAAGCAAACCCCUUCCUCUUCUUCAUAACUCAAAGAAAAUCCCACUCCACCCUAUCGUAUACUUUGUUCAUAUCAAGCUUUAAAGUUAUAAAUUCUUUUUUCCUGGCCCGUUUCUAUUUUAGAAUGUAAAACCUCAUAAGCUAGUAGCACAUUAUUUGAAAUCAAUCUCUCUAGCACGAAGGCACUUUGACUACUAUCAAUGCAAUAAUCUAACACUCUUUGAAACCUAUUAGCUAUUACUUUUGCUAUCAACUUGUAAAUUACUGUACAUCAUCUAAUAAGUCGAAAGUUUUUUAAAUGCAUUGCAUGUGGGACUUUCGGGAUUAAAAAAGUGUUUGUGGAAUUCAAAGAAUCCAAAGCAAUACCUUCAUUCAACAGCUUUAAACAGAGAGCAAUAACUUUCGUCCCUACGACAUGCCAUCAUCGUUGAAAAAACAAAGCUAGGAAACUGUCAUCGCCUGAGGCUUUUGUCAGCCCUAUCCCUUUCAAUGCAACCACUGUUUCAUCCUCAGUAUACCAUUCCAUCAACAUUGAAUUGGCUUCAUUCGAAGUACAUCUUCCCACUCCUCCUUAAAUAUGAUUUAUAUCCCUCACUCCAUUUGUCGUGAAAAUCUCUUGGAAAUAAGAACGAGCCACUUCUUCCAUCUCUAUAAUCUCUGUAGUCAUUCUGCCAUCUUCACACUAUAAUCCCCCUAUUUUGUUUGUUCUUCGGCCGUGUGAAGCAAAAUUAUGAAAAACUUUUAUGUUCUUAUCACCCAAUCUUAACCAAUUAGCUUUAGCCCUCUACUCUCAAAACAUUUCAUCUUUGUCAAUUUCCAAAUUUAAUUGGAUUCUUGAUCAAUCAAUUCUACAAGAUUCUUAUCGUCCCGUUCCUUCUCCAGUAGCUCCCCCAAUUUAUUCGUCAACUCCUCCUUAAUCCUAACCCUCUACUUCUUGAUUAAUUUUGCCCACUCUAUUAAGUCCUUCACUUGCUCCAGCUUACUCCAUGCAUCUCCAAUACCUUUUGCCCAUAAACCAUUUACCUCCUAUAUUCCUUCAUUACCCACCAAGCUUCAAAUCGGAAUUUUUUUAGCUUAUUAUUUGACUUCUUUUGCUCAAGAGAAACAUGGAUAAGACAAUGAUCAGAAUAUGAAUGUGGGAGAUGGCGAACCCCCAUAUUAGGAAAUAAAGUCAUCAUUCCAUCAUUUGCAACACCCCUACCUAUAGGGGUGUGCAAAAUUCGGGUAAAACCGAAAAAAUUCGGUUAACCAACCGAAUUCGGUUAAUUGGUCGGUUAACCGAAUUUUUUCGGUCGGGGGUCGGUUAAUUAUUUUUUGAUUUUUCGGUUAACGGUUAAUUCGGUUCGAAACUGGUCGGUUAAUCGAAUUUUUUCGGUUAACCGAAAAAAUUAAUAAAAAAUUAUAAUAUAUAAAUAGGCCCACUAUUCACCUAAACCCAAUCUAAACCCAAGUAUUCAACCCAACCCAACCCAAUCAUAAAAUUAAAUUACAAAUAAUUUAAUAAAUAAAAAUAAAAUUUUAAAACUAAGACUAAAACUAAAGUCUAAAAGUCUAAAAAUAAUUUAAUUAUGUAGUGAUUUAAUUUGGUUAAUUUGGUUAAUUCGGGUAAUUCUGUUAAUUUUGGUAAUUCGGUUAAUUCGGGUAAUUCGGUUAAUUCGGUUAAUUUUUAACCAAAAAUAAUAAAAAAAAUAUAAUUUUCGGUUUUCGGUUAACCGACCGAAUUAACCGAAAAAAUUUCGGUUCGGUUAAUUUUUUUUAAAAAAAUUUCGGUUCGGUUAACGGUUAAAGAUUUUGAAAGGUCGGUUAAUUCGGUUAAUGUUAUUUCGGGAAACCAUGGUCCAGAAUAACCUACAUCCACCAAUUGACAUUCCUUUAGAACUUCCCGUAACAACUCCAUUCUCCUCUCACCCCUUGGUAACCCUCCUUUCUUUUCAAAAGAAUACAUAAUUUCAUUAAAGUCACCACACAUCAUCCAUGGAAGAUUUUGCAAACAGCUCAAGGUUUUUAGAAUACUCCAUGUAUCAACUCUUCCACUAGCAUAAGGAGCCCCAUAGAACCUAGUAAAUCAAGUCUAUAGUAUUUUAUUUUACUAAUUUCUCUAGUAAAUUAUUUCAUAUAUUUUUUUCAAAUAAAUAAAACAAAAUUGAUGAGGAGAGAUAUAAAAAAAUGAGGAAAAAGUUUUUUAUUUAUUAAAACAUAUUAUUUGUUAUGGAUAAAUGAUAAAUUUGACCAAAAUGAUAAAAAAAUGAUGGUAAUUUUUUUUAUAAAAGUAAUAUUUCGAGUAAAAUGUAAAAGACAGGAUGUAAUAUAACAGUUUAAAUGUUUAAAAUUUCCUCAACUCAUAAUAAUAAAUAAAGAUAUGUAUAGUUGAGAUGUUACUUGAAGCAUAUAUCAAAGAACUAGAGAAUUUGAUUUAUUGAUUUUUAUUAUUAUUAUUAUUUACUUAACAAAAAUGAAUUGAAGUCAUUAAAAAUGAGAGUAAAUUGUUGAGUAUGUCACGUUAUCAAGGGAAUGUAAGACUAACCUAAGAAAUAUGUGAUAUUGAAAAUUAGCCUUAAAUUUUGAAAAAUUGACAUGGCUGGAAAUGUGAGAUUAUCAACUUUAUGUAAUGUUUGAAAUCUAAAUACGAGAAUUCUAUGCUAAAAUUGCACGCUAUCUUAAGAAUGUCGUGGGUAGAUUGAUUCUAUAUAAAUUGAAUUCUCCUCCUUUCCUUUUCGUAAUCAAAGAGUUUGUGAGACUUCUUCUGUAUACCACCAAAAUUUGGUGGAUCUUUGGAGUCAAAAUUAUGACAAACCCGGUAAAAAAAUAAAAGAAAAAAAACCCAACCUAAUUCAACUUAAAUCGAAUCUAAUAUUGAGUCACACGGAGCUAAGAAUGCCUUGCUAUAUUGUAUGUAUUUGUUGACACAUUAGAAUUUGAAAAACAAAGAUAUUUUCAUAAACAUAAUUUCAUUUAGAAUCUCAUAUAUAUAUAUAUAUUUAUAUAUAUAGUGUAUAGAGAGAAAUAUAAAAUAAAAAAAAUUAUAUUUAUUCUAACUCUAUAAUUUAGAAUUUAGAUUUAUUCUAAUUUUAUAGAUAAUAGAAUAACUCAAACAAACCCUAAAGAUUUGGAUUUAGAUGGAAUAUAAUAAACUUAAGUUUAAAUUUACAAAAAAAAUAAUAAUUAUGUUGUUAGAAAACAAAACAAAAGCUUAUUGAACGUAUAAAACCGGUUUUGUUAUUAGUGCCUCAUCCAUCCCGACCUCAUUGUGGCAUGACUUUACUUAUCAUGACCUCGUUAAGAGAAACACUUCAUCAAUGCCAAAUUUCAUGGACAUAUAUACAAGGGCGACAUUAAGAGGGGCUAGCAAGGAUUAAGGCCUCCUUAAAAUGGAAAAAUAUUACAUUAACCCGUUUAUAUUUUAUAAAAUUAUAAAUGAGAGUUAAAUUGCACUUUAUCCUCCCCAAAAGAUAAAAAUUUAACUUAAUAUAAUUAUGAAAUUGCAUUCUAACUCUAAAAAGAAUACAUAACUUAAUUCUCCCUUUACCCCCCUCCACAAAAAAAAAAAUUUGACUUCACCCCAGCAUGCAUACACAUAGUGCAUGAAGCUUCUUUAAUCUACUUUGCUAAUGAUAGGUGUUGUGUCCUCCCUUACAUGGCUCACACGUGGGAUCUCUCUUAAUCUAUCUUCUUCCUAUCACCGCCUAUCUAGAAGGGUAUUGUGCUCUCUAAGUGGCCAACCAUGAUGAAACCCGCGCCGUACAUGUGUUAAGAUCCAAAGCUAAGAGAUGAUCAUCCUCAAAAAUAAAUACUUGUCCUUAGCCUUGGCAAGUCUUAACUUUAUGUUUCUACUACUAUUCAGGGGAGGGGCCGAAUGUAAAUUAUAGAUAUUUUAGGGAGAGGGCCAAGGCCAUUGCUAGCUCCCAUCUAGUUUUCCCAUUGCUACCACUCCUUCAAAGAACACCCUAAACCUCUUACUUUACAUUUCACAACUCUCAAUACACUUAUCAUCAUGUGAAUUGUCACUUCUUUCUUUUACCGUGUUUUUCCUUCACUAAAUUUUCA
rnacentral:lncRNA from 1 species